rnacentral:rRNA from 1 species
GUGGUAUACGAUGGAUCCGCGUCUGAUUAGCUGGUUGGCGGGGUAAAGGCCCACCAAGGCGACGAUCAGUAGCCGGCCUGAGAGGGUGAACGGCCACAUUGGGACUGAGACACGGCCCAAACUCCUACGGGAGGCAGCAGUGGGGAAUAUUGCACAAUGGGGGAAACCCUGAUGCAGCGACGCCGCGUGAGUGAAGAAGUAUUUCGGUAUGUAAAGCUCUAUCAGCAGGGAAGAAAAUGACGGUACCUGACUAAGAAGCCCCGGCUAACUACGUGCCAGCAGCCGCGGUAAUACGUAGGGGGCAAGCGUUAUCCGGAUUUACUGGGUGUAAAGGGAGCGUAGACGGCAGCGCAAGUCUGGAGUGAAAUCCCAUGGCUUAACCAUGGAACUGCUUUGGAAACUGUGCAGCUAGAGUGCAGGAGAGGUAAGCGGAAUUCCUAGUGUAGCGGUGAAAUGCGUAGAUAUUAGGAGGAACACCAGUGGCGAAGGCGGCUUACUGGACUGUAACUGACGUUGAGGCUCGAAAGCGUGGGGAGCAAACAGGAUUAGAUACCCUGGUAGUCCACGCUGUAAACG